GAAACUUUUAUCUCUUGGGUGACGAUGAUCGUGCCAUUGAUAUUGAAACGUGUCCAAGAUGCCAGAAUUUGAGGCUGGUUUAUGAUUGCCCAGCAGAUGGUUGUCAAGUGAAAGAAAAUGCUGCUCAGGUAUGCAGGGCUUGCACACUUUGCAUUGCACGAUGUGUUCAGUGUGGACGCUGCAUUAAUGACGGUGAAUAUGAAGAGACAUUUUGUCUGGAAUGGCUUUGCUCAGAUUGUUUUAAGCAGCAACCGCAGUGCCAAGAGACUUCUAACUUAUGUCUUCACGGCUAGAGACUUAUAGUGCUUUUGUCUUCUGGU
rnacentral:lncRNA from 1 species